AUCGAACGCUGGCGGCAGGCCUAACACAUGCAAGUCGAGCGGAUGAAGGGAGCUUGCUCCUGGAUUCAGCGGCGGACGGGUGAGUAAUGCCUAGGAAUCUGCCUGGUAGUGGGGGAUAACGUCCGGAAACGGGCGCUAAUACCGCAUACGUCCUGAGGGAGAAAGUGGGGGAUCUUCGGACCUCACGCUAUCAGAUGAGCCUAGGUCGGAUUAGCUAGUUGGUGGGGUAAAGGCCUACCAAGGCGACGAUCCGUAACUGGUCUGAGAGGAUGAUCAGUCACACUGGAACCGAGACACGGUCCAGACUCCUACGGGAGGCAGCAGUGGGGAAUAUUGGACAAUGGGCGAAAGCCUGAUCCAGCCAUGCCGCGUGUGUGAAGAAGGUCUUCGGAUUGUAAAGCACUUUAAGUUGGGAGGAAGGGCAGUAAGUUAAUACCUUGCUGUUUUGACGUUACCAACAGAAUAAGCACCGGCUAACUUCGU
rnacentral:rRNA from 1 species